AUGACUCAUCACCGCCUCGCUGCUAUAUGCUUCUAUAAGAUUCCUUUCCUCCCCCCUCCACGCAGCAUUGGACCACCAACACUUGGAAGCUUGCUAUCUCGCGGUCCGCACUCUUUUUUGGCACAAAAUCUCGCCUUCCCCACCACACCUUCAUCGUCGCUUGCUGGACCUCCAGUCAUGGUUGGGCGCAGAAACCACCGCACCGCACCACUUGGGUCAUUUCCUAUGGCCACUUUGGAUGUGAAGGAGGCGCCAACAGAGCAAUUCAUUGUAGCAUGGCCGGUGUCUCAGUUAUCUUAA
rnacentral:rRNA from 1 species